UUUACCAAAAUUUUUGAAAACAAAACAUCUUUCACUAAAUCGUCAAUCGGAGAAUCAAGCCGCGAAAUCGUCACCGGAAAAAAAUGGUGUUUCUCUCUCGCAAAAAGCCUCCACCGCCUCCGCCAUCUUCCUCAUCUGCUCCGCCUCCGCCGUCUUCCUCAGCUGCUCCGCCUCCCAAAUUCCCCCAGGCGCAAAAGAAAUCCGCCGAUGAACCCGACGCGGUGGAGAAGAUGACUGCGAUUCUAGCGGAAGCUGGCUGCACACUGAACAACCCGUACGGUCCUCCAUGUCUCCCCUCCGAUCUCCACGCCUUCCGCCGCC
rnacentral:lncRNA from 1 species